rnacentral:rRNA from 1 species
UGGGGAAUAUUGCACAAUGGGGGAAACCCUGAUGCAGCGACGCCGCGUGAGCGAAGAAGGUUUUCGAAUCGUAAAGCUCUGUCCUAUGAGAAGAUAAUGACGGUAUCAUAGGAGGAAGCCCCGGCUAAAUACGUGCCAGCAGCCGCGGUAAUACGUAUGGGGCGAGCGUUGUCCGGAAUUAUUGGGCGUAAAGGGUACGUAGGCGGUCUAUUAAGUCAGGUGUGAAAGCGUGAGGCUUAACCUCAUUAAGCACUUGAAACUGAUAGACUUGAGUGAAGGAGAGGAAAGUGGAAUUCCUAGUGUAGCGGUGAAAUGCGUAGAUAUCAGGAGGAACACCGAUGGCGAAGGCAGGUUACUGGGCCGUUACUGACGCUGAGGAGCGAAAGCAUGGGGAGCGAACAGG